rnacentral:rRNA from 1 species
UACGUAGGGUGCAAGCGUUGUCCGGAAUUAUUGGGCGUAAAGAGCUUGUAGGCGGUUUGUCGCGUCUGCUGUGAAAUUUCGGGGCUCAACCCCGAACUUGCAGUGGGUACGGGCAGACUAGAGUGCGGUAGGGGAGAUUGGAAUUCCUGGUGUAGCGGUGGAAUGCGCAGAUAUCAGGAGGAACACCGAUGGCGAAGGCAGAUCUCUGGGCCGUAACUGACGCUGAGGAGCGAAAGCAUGGGGAGCGAACAGG